AGAACCAAAGCAGGGUUGGGCCUGUAGUAGCAUGGUUUAUGGGGCGGGGAGGAUGGUAGGACCAGGUAAAGACAAGAAUGUGAGGAGACCAGAUGGUCUGUAGGGAAGGCCCCAAUGGGAUGGUCAUGUUCAGGGUACCCACAUACUAAAUGCAGGCUAUGGCAUCAAGUGUAGUUCAUUUUGGCACACAUGGGUAUUGCCAUGUAUCUUGGUGUUGUGUAUUAGAAAGCCUUAUGUCCAGGCCUUAGUUAUAAUCAGCCAUGUUGCCCUGACUCUGCUAUCUUUCUUUCUUGCACAGAGCUCAUCUCCUGUCCUGGGUGUGAACGAGUAUAUCUUACCAGGGAUGUAACUGAACAUUUUUUUCUGCAUUGUGUUCCUACUGAGCAACCCAAGAUGGCCAGGAACUGCUCUGAGUGCAAGGAGAAGAGGGCAGCACAUAUCCUCUGCACCUACUGCAAUCGCUGGCUGUGCAGCUCUUGCACAGAGGAACACCGACACAGCCCUGUCCCCGGGGGCCCAUUCUUUCCUCGGGCCCAGAAGGGAUCUCCAGGAGUGAAUGGUGGUCCCGGAGACUUCACCUUGUAUUGUCCUCUACACACACAGGAAGUACUCAAGCUAUUCUGUGAGACAUGUGAUAUGCUCACUUGCCAUAGCUGCCUAGUGGUGGAACACAAAGAACACAGGUGCAGACAUGUUGAAGAAGUUUUGC
rnacentral:lncRNA from 1 species